AUUUUAUGGAGAGUUUGAUCUUGGCUCAGGACGAACGCUGGCGGCGUGCCUAAUACAUGCAAGUCGAGCGCGUGAAGCAACUGGACCCCUUCGGGGUGAAAGCUGUGGAACGAGCGGCGGACGGGUGAGUAACACGUGGGCAACCUGCCUGUAAGACUGGGAUAACCCCGGGAAACCGGGGCUAAUACCGGGUAAUACUUUUCUUCGCAUGAAGGGAAGUUGAAAGGCGGCUUUUCGGAGCUGUCACUUACAGAUGGGCCCGCG
rnacentral:rRNA from 1 species